UGGGUGUGUUGGUCAGACUAAAGUCUGGUA
rnacentral:piRNA from 1 species